GGAGAGGGAUCGGGCCCGGUGGCCCGGCCGGUCUUCAAAACCGUGAUGUCGGCCUUUACGGUCGAUGGAGGGUUCGACUCCCUCCCUUCUCCGCCA
rnacentral:tRNA from 1 species